AGGAAAAAUUCAGUUUAGGGUUUAAAACCCUAAUGCUGACUGAAAGGAAAAAGUUCAGUUUAGGGUUUAAAACCCUAAUGCUGACUGGAUGGAAAAAGUUCAGUUUAGGGUUUAAAACCCUAAUGCUGACUAAAGGAAAAGUUCAGUUUAGGGUUUAAAACCCUAAUGAUGACUAAAUGGAAAGAGUUCAGUUUAGGGUUUAAAACCAUAAUGCUGACUGAAUGGAAAAGUUCAGUUUAGGAUUUAAAACCCUAAUGCUGACUGAAAGGAAAAAGUUCAGUUUAGGGUUUAAAACCCUAAUGCUAACUGAAAGGAAAAAGUUCAGUUUAGGGUUUAAAACCCUAAUGCUGACUAAAUGGAAAGAGUUCAGUUUAGGGUUUAAAACCCUAAUACUGACUGAAUGGAAAAGUUCAGUUUAGGGUUUAAAACCCUAAUGCUGACUGAAGGAAAAAGUUCAGUUUAGGGUUUCCAUUUAUAACUAUUGGAAGAAGUGGAGGCUUCAUUAAGAA
rnacentral:lncRNA from 1 species